ensembl:lncRNA
GUCAGAGCCACUGAAAGUGAAGCACAACUCACCAUAAACAGGACCUCACAAGCCAUAAGCAUGAAAUUAGAUCUAAAUAUUGAUUUACUCCAUAUAAAUGUAUGUGCAAUUCCAGCCUCUGAGCUCUCUGCACAAGGAGAUUUAAUGCCUUUUCAGAAGCACAAGACUGAAACCAAAGCUGUGUUACAGUGCUCAUCACAAACUAUGCUUCGUGUUUCCCUCAGCAAGUAGCCCAUUUUGGAGCUCUCGUCCUUCACCCCAUGGGGCAGGUCGGAGCUCCCUGCACACCCUCUGCCUGGGUCUCCCCCAUGUGUUGCUCGGGCCCACCCUUAGGCCUCACUCAGGCCUGCAUCGGGCCUGCGCGUUGCCAUAGCGACGAGGCGUUGGCCGCCUACCCCUUUAAGAGCGUUCUUGGAGGCCGGAAGUGGCUCCGCGCGGCGCUCUGGUUUUCUCUUCGUCUCUGUGGUUUUCCUGCCUUUCUGCUUCCGGUGGCGGGCACCGCGAGGGGCGGCGUGGCAGGGGUCUGGGCCUGGGGUGGUCAUAGGCCGAGCUGGAGGUCAUAUUGCGGGCUGGAGGUCUUCUUGGGAAGCCAGCAUUCAUCAGGUGUUCCUGCUGACCAUGGAGUGGCUGCUGGAUCUGCACAUUCACCAAGGUGGCUGAACUGAAGAUCUGUCUGCAUUAUGGCGAGAGUGCUGCUCCUGCAGUUCUGUUUGUUUAUACCUGUGUGGUCUCUUCAGGCUAUAGAAGGUAUUUUUGCCAAAGUAGAUGGUAAAUGUGAAUAAAUUGUAGUUCUUCAAGCUCAUUGUCUUUCUUUCUUAUUUAACCCCUGGUAUUGUGAAUAAUGUAGGAAGGAUUUUAACACGCUGGAGGUGUGCAUUUAGGCAAGGAGGCGCAUAAAGCUUUUUCCUGUGCUGACGCUUGUGUCCAGGGCAGCCAUGCUGGAGGGUUGUGGUGCUUUCAAGAUCUGUAGGAGUGAUUCAUUCCUGACAGUUAAUAAAGCAAUCCUGAAGAAUGUGAGAGCACGUUUGCAGUGCGCCAAGCUCUAAUCUCCACUAGAGGGUGUGAACGUCUGCAAGAAGGGUUGUGUUUCAUUGAAACUGGGAGA